GCCCAGGGAGCCCUCGUCUGUCACUGAGCUGUUGGUUUGAACUCAGCACGUGCCCGGUCGGGGUCGGGUCCGAGGGUCCGAUCUGAGGUCGCAGCUGGGAGGGGGAGAGCCUGGGGGCGGGCAGCGCUGGUCUUCUGGGGAGGCCCUGGAACUGCCGCGUGAAUUGGAGAGCCGGGGCGGGGAGCAGUGGAGACUGCCGCCCGUGGGGGGCUUACCAGCACGAGGGAAGGAGGAGCCGGUGGCAUCUGCGUCCCCUCCUUAGUGCCCGCCACCUGGGCCGCGUGGGGGACGUAGGCGCCGCCUGAGCCUGGAAGGCCCCAGAGAGGGGCCGGAGGGAAGCGCUGUGAUGGCCACUCCCUCGGGUGGAGGGUGGAGGGCCUAGGGCCAGAGCUAGGAUUUUAUACAUUCACAAGCCAAGGUUUCAGUUAAUGGACGAGUGAGGGGUUCAGCUUAUUCCAGAGAUGUACUCCCCAGGACAGGUCCAGCUGCAAGUGCGUUCCGGUGCAGACACCAUUAAUACAAUUUCAGAACCCCAUGAAGGAAACCUAACCACGAGAUUAUUAGAACGAAAGAGUAACAGCAUCUCUGCUACCGAUACCCCUGAAUCAUCUGAGGCCACAAAGAGCUGUCAAGUGGCUCAGUUUGGCUCUUAGAAAUGCUGGCAGAGUGAAGGCUGGUUCUUCUGUUGCUGCAGCAAAUUCACUGCAGCAUCUACAGUGGAAGCUUUGCUGUGAGUGCUCGUCUAUAAACGACAUGGAACCUUCUCAAUGUCUUCCAGCAGGCCUGGAUAUGUAGAAAAAAGUAAGGCACAUGCUGAAAGGCAGCAUUGAACCAGAGACCUCAAGUCUUAAGUUGAAAUCGUCCCCAACAGCACUAGUCUUGACUGGGAAUUCUUUGUUCUCAACUCAAAAUCCUCAUUGUGUGCUGUGUCCUAAAACUCAGAAGAGGAAGGUUUCCUGUUACACCAGCAAGGAUAUGGAGAGAUCAGUCUUGAUAUUUCACCCAGAAAACCUUUAUGAUGCCCAAGUCGGGGACACCUGGCUGUCACAUGGCUUCUGCGUCCAGAAUCUCCCUGAUGCCAGCUCUGCUCCAUUCACUCAGCACCAUCAAUGAGCAGAGCGCUGCUACCGAAAUUGUAUUAUCUACAGUCAUGCUCCACAUCCCAGCCACAAAGCAUUACUCUCCCUUCUCUGAUCCCCUGUUCUUUAACCCAAAAUAUCACAUCAGGUGGCAAGAUGUACAGAGCCUGGUGUCUGCAGGUGCUCAACACCCCAUAUCCUAGUUUUGUUUUUGUUUGCAUUCGUAUCUGAUGAGAUUUCUACAACGCAUAUGUGUUAAUUUUUUUUAAAGCAAAAAAUAAAACUUCUAAGUGUC